GCUUGAAUAGCUUGGUUGGCAGAGCAUCAGACUUUUAAUCUGAGGGUCCAGGGUUCAAGUCCCUGUUCAGGUG
rnacentral:tRNA from 1 species